rnacentral:rRNA from 1 species
AUUGAACGCUGGCGGCAUGCCUUACACAUGCAAGUCGAACGGUAACAGGUCUUCGGAUGCUGACGAGUGGCGAACGGGUGAGUAAUACAUCGGAACGUGCCUAGUAGUGGGGGAUAACUACUCGAAAGAGUGGCUAAUACCGCAUGAGAUCUACGGAUGAAAGCAGGGGAUCGCAAGCCCUUGUGCUACCAGAGCGGCCGAUGGCAGAUUAGGUAGUUGGUGGGAUAAAAGCUUACCAAGCCGACGAUCUGUAGCUGGUCUGAGAGGACGAUCAGCCACACUGGGACUGAGACACGGCCCAGACUCCUACGGGAGGCAGCAGUGGGGAAUUUUGGACAAUGGGCGAAAGCCUGAUCCAGCAAUGCCGCGUGCAGGAUGAAGGCCUUCGGGUUGUAAACUGCUUUUGUACGGAACGAAAAGCCCCGGGUUAAUACCCUGGGGUCAUGACGGUACCGUAAGAAUAAGCACCGGCUAACUACGUGCCAGCAGCCGCCGUAA